AAAUAUAAGACCUUUUUAGUGAGAAUUUCAAGCCUUCAUAGCUGGGAUACUUCCCAUAAUCUCAUUCAUUUAGUUCUUUCUUUUUUUCUUUAAAAUGAUACAUUUUUUCAUUCCAUGAAAGAUUGCAACUUCAGAUUUUAAUUUUCAGGACCUGGCUCAUUGAGGUCUGGGUUCUUCAACUCUUUCAUAUGGAAAAUGAAAUCCAGAAAUUGUGUU
rnacentral:misc_RNA from 1 species